rnacentral:rRNA from 1 species
GACGAACGCUGGCGGCGUGCUUAACACAUGCAAGUCGAACGGAAAGGCCCUGCUUUUGUGGGUGCUCGAGUGGCGAACGGGUGAGUAACACGUGAGUAACCUGCCCUUGACUUUGGGAUAACUUCAGGAAACUGGGGCUAAUACCGGAUAGGAGCUCCUGCUGCAUGGUGGGGGUUGGAAAGUUUCGGCGGUUGGGGAUGGACUCGCGGCUUAUCAGCUUGUUGGUGGGGUAGUGGCUUACCAAGGCUUUGACGGGUAGCCGGCCUGAGAGGGUGACCGGCCACAUUGGGACUGAGAUACGGCCCAGACCCCUACGGGAGGCAGCAGUGGGGAAUAUUGCACAAUGGGCGGAAGCCUGAUGCAGCAACGCCGCGUGCGGGAUGACGGCCUUCGGGUUGUAAACCGCUUUCGCCUGUGACGAAGCGUGAGUGACGGUAAUGGGUAAAGAAGCACCGGCUAACUACGUG